rnacentral:tRNA from 1 species
GUCACCGUGUCCGAGUGGUUUAAGGAAGCAGUCUUGAAAACUGCCGAGGAUAACACCUCCCUGAGUUCGAAUCUCAGCGGUGACG